rnacentral:rRNA from 1 species
AUGGGGGCGGGGACCAGGCCGUCCGCGAUAGCUGCGGCGGCUCUGCUCGCCGUCGCCGCCUGCUGCGCGGCGCUCCUCGUCGCGGCCGCGCCGCCGCAAAGCCACCAGCCGCAGCAGCACAAGCACGUCAGGAUCUCAGGGAACGCCGGCGACGUGCUGGAGGACGACCCGGUGGGGAAGCUCAAGGUGUUCAUCUACGAGAUGCCGAGGAAGUACAACCAUUACCUGCUCGAGAAGGACAACCGGUGCCUCUACCACAUGUUCGCGGCGGAGAUCUUCAUGCACCAGUUCCUGCUGGCGAGCGCGGUGCGGACCAUGAACCCGGAGGAGGCCGACUGGUUCUACACCCCGGUGUACGUGACGUGCGACCUGACGCAGCAGGGCUUCCCGCUGCCGUUCCGGGCUCCCCGGAUCAUGCGGAGCGCCAUCCAGUACAUCGCGGCGACAUGGCCGUACUGGAACCGGACCGAGGGGGCCGACCACUUCUUCCUCGCUCCCCAUGAUUUCGGGGCGUGCUUCCACUAUCAGGAGGAGAGGGCUAUCGAGAGGGGGAUCCUGCCGCUGCUCCGGCGCGCGACGCUGGUGCAGACGUUCGGGCAGAGGAACCAUGUGUGCAUGCAGGAGGGGUCCAUAACCAUUCCUCCCUACGCCAACCCGCAGAAGAUGCAGGCUCACCUCAUCUCCCCCGGCACCCCCCGGUCCAUCUUCGCCUACUUCCGCGGCCUCUUCUACGACAUGGGCAACGACCCCGAGGGCGGCUACUACGCCAGGGGCGCGCGGGCGUCGGUGUGGGAGAACUUCAAGGACAACCCUCUGUUCGACAUGUCGUCGGAGCACCCGUCGACGUACUACGAGGACAUGCAGCGGGCCAUCUUCUGCCUGUGCCCUCUGGGGUGGGCGCCGUGGAGCCCGCGGCUGGUGGAGGCGGUGGUGUUCGGGUGCAUCCCGGUGAUCAUCGCCGACGACAUCGUCCUCCCCUUCGCGGACGCCAUCCCGUGGGAGCAGAUCAGCGUGUUCGUGGCGGAGGCGGACGUGCCGCGGCUCGACUCCAUCCUGGCGUCGGUGGCGCCCGAGGACGUGCUCCGGAAGCAGCGCCUGCUGGCCAGCCCGGCCAUGAAGCAGGCCGUGCUCUUCCACCAGCCGGCCAGGCCCGGCGACGCCUUCGACCAGGUGCUCAACGGGCUCGCCCGCAAGCUGCCGCACCGGGAGGGCGCGUUCCUCAAGCCCGGCCAGAAGGUGCUCGACUGGAACGCCGGCCUCGACAGCGACCUCAAGCCGUGGUAG